GACGAACCGUGCGAACGUUGUUCGGAAUCACUGGGCUUAAAGGGCGCGUAGGCGGGUUCGAAAGUCUGUGGUGAAAGCCUCCAGCUUAACUGGAGAAGUGCCAUGGAUACUGCGAACCUGGAGGAGGGUAGGGGCAUCUGGAACGCUGGGUGGAGCGGUGAAAUGCGUUGAUAUCCAGCGGAACUCCGGUGGCGAAGGCGAGGUGCUGGACCCUUUCUGACGCUGAGGCGCGAAAGCCAGGGGAGCAAACGGG
rnacentral:rRNA from 2 species